CCUGUAAUCUCAUCAACAGAGAAUACAAAACUACACAAAUGGUUUUACAACUCUAUCAAGCACGUCACAACAUCAGAGGGCAGGAAGUCCUACUCUGUUUCCUAAAUCCCUGGACAAUAAAAAAGUUGUUGCGUU